rnacentral:lncRNA from 1 species
AAACUUUAUUUGUCACUUUACAAGAUGUAUAACUUCUACUUAAAAAUUUAAACGCACUCUUUAAAUCCUUACGACUAACGACUAACAUUAAAAAAAAGUAUGUACCAUAUAACUGACAUGUGUGUGUGUGUAUAUAUAUAUAGUUCAUAGUAUUAAUGUUAUUAUCACCCAGUUAGUAAUGAACAGCGAUAACAAUGAGCAACAGCAAUAUAUAUAUAUAUAUAUAUAAGUGAGCAGUAGAACGUUUUCUCUUUUUUUGUGGUAAUACUUUUUAGUUAAGCUUUAUAUACACUUUAGCAAAGGUAUAAAAGACCAGUAAGAAAGUAAAUACAUACACAUGUUUACACCCACACAUAUAUAUAUAUUACCUCGCAUCGUAAAAAAAAACUAACAACCCACAAACUGUACAAGUUAUAUUGUAACGAAUUAAACUCGUAUUUACUGGACGAACUUGAUGUAUACAUACGUACAUAUAUACAUGUGUUUAUAUGUAUAUUAAGUGCAUAUGCAUAAAACACAUAUAUGCUCUCUAAUUAGAAAUAAUCUAGGAUGUUUUUAAAUUACAUUAAUAAAAAGCAUGGAAAUAUUAUUUUGAUAUAUCUUUUGUACAUAACACUUUUUGAGACAUUACAUUACAGUAAAACAUUAUUAAUUAGGGACUACAGGUAUGGACAAAAAAAAAAAAAAAAAAAAAAAAAACAUGUUACUUUUUACAUAUUUAAAUAGACUAGUAGUCAAAAGAGAGAGAAAAAAAAAUAAAUAAAAUAAACACAUUAUGUGCUAAAUGGUUAACUAACUGUAUAACGAAUAAAAUGUGAGCUUUUAAAAAUUUACUUUUGUUUUUUUUUUAUUUUUUUUAGCUUAUAUCUUCCUUUUGAUAAUAGCCUAACAUCUUUUAAUAUAAACCCUAAGACAAAAAAGUCUUUUAAUUUUAUUAUCAAAAACUUAUAUAAAAAAAACAAAAAGAAAAAAAAAAAACAUUUAAAAAAAGUAUAUUCGAUAAAGGUAACUAAUUUAGCUGAAAAUAGCAUUCCCGAAGAAUACAUCAAAUACAAUAUUCCUUCUGAGCCAAUCUACCCAUACAUCACAGUGCCUGAUAAUUUAUACACGAGGACAAAAAAAGAGAAGGAAAAACUUGAAAAAGAGGAGGGUGAAAAGGAAGAGGGUGAAGAAGAAAAAGACGAAAAAUAUAAAAACCAAGUCGAGAUAGACGAACUUGAUGAAAAAAUUGAGGAAAAAAAAAUAAAGACCAUAGGUAAGGACAUAAAACGUAUACCAUUAAAAGAUGUAGAAAAUCAGAAUAAAGAAAAAAUUGCAAAAGUUAAAAACUUAGCUGAACCAACAAUAAAUGAUUAUAUUGAAGAUACAGAAUAUGAAAGGUAUAUCCAUCCUAGUUUAAUAAAAAAAAUUGAAAAAAAAGAUUUAUAUUAUUAUAUACCUUAUAAUUUAAGAAAAUAUAUUACAAAUGAAAAAGAAUUUAUUGGUACUGUAGAUAUGUUUAACGAAUAUGAUGUUGAACAUGACUUGACUGAAUAUGAUGCGUCUUUUAAUGGUAUAGGACCCUGGCCUUCAACAGAAGAGAUAGUACAUAAUGAAAAUGAUUAUGUAUUUGAUAAAACUGAUUUAGAGAUAGAAUAUAAUAUUACAUAUGAUAAAAGUGGUUAUUAUGCAUACAAAAAAAGUGAAUUGGAUAAAAAAGCGAGGGCGCAUGUAGCAAAGAAAAAUGAAAACGAAAAUGAAAACGAAAAUGAAAACGAAAAUGAAAACGAAAAUGAAAAUGAAAACAAAAAUGAAAACGAAAAUGAAAGAGAAGCGCAUAUAGAAAAUCAGAAUAAUUCGCCUAAAAAAAAUAAUCAAAAUAACACAUCAUUUGAAGUAACUGUAAAGGAUAUAAGAAAAUUGUAUAGUAAAAAAAUUAUUAAAACUAUUAAGGAAGCAAAAGAGGAAAUGCAAAGAUGGGAGGAGCGAAGUAAACAAUCAAGAACUAAAUGGGUAUUAACAAAAAAGGAAUUAAAUUUAUUACCAACAAAUUUUAAAUUAUUAUAUAUACAAAAACGUAAACAAUAUGUAAAAGAAAAUAUUUUGAAUAUGAACAAGCUUUUUAAUAAUUCAGUAGGCAAUCAAA